rnacentral:lncRNA from 1 species
UUUUGUUUUCUUGAAUGUCUUUUUUGUUGUUGUUUGGAUGCUCUCAAUUCAAUAAUUUGUGAGUCUCUUAAGUUUAGCUUAGGUUAUUAGCCUCUGAUUAUUUUGUUUAAGAAGACACUAUCAAAAUCCAAAGAAAAACAUGUUCGGAUAACCACAGGGCAGCGAGUCUGAGAGAAAUCUUGGUCUGAGAGAUAAACAUCAAAUAAAUAAGGGAAAAAAAAAAACAUAUCAUUCACAAAAGAAAGACUUUUGACAAGUCAGUGGCGAAAAAGAGUAAAUGUGUGUGAUUCUAGUGCAGCUUCACAGAGAGCAGCGAGUCCAAGAGAAAUCUAGGUUUUUCAUCUAUCUCAGCAGGCUUCGGCGAGUCGGCGACUGAGAAUGAUAAUCUCCGGUGGUUUACGACGGCGAAAGAUCCCGUCGAGCGAGAAAAAGAGCGCUUCUUCAUCAUCAGCAGUUCCCGGCGGUGAGACCUUUUCUCCAGCGAUCGACGAUUGAUUCGCGUUAAGAAAUUGCCGCCAUUCACAGACGCUUGUUUGGCCCAUUGGGCUUAAGCCCCACUCUUACUAGGGUUUAGGCGUCUUCACCAUUUUUUUUUUCUUUUUAUAACGAAAAAGUGUUUUUUUUUUGUUGUUGUUGGAGAAUGUCACAAAAGCAAAACCAUGGAGAAGAAAUCACAUUUUAUUAUAGAUGUUUUACAAAUUGAUAUGUUGAUUCAAUAUUGGUACAACAAGUAGACAACUACUCAAAAGUCAAAACUAUCUUGCUCCAGGAACCACCGAAGUAUCCAAGCUAAUAUUCAUUUCUUGAUAUUCCAUGCCUCGAGUCUUGCUCAUCCUCGAGUUUUCACACACAAGACACUCUUUUAGCUCGUUGAUUACCUGAGACAUGGUUGGUCGUUUCGAGGAAGAAGGGUCUGCGCAUGACAUUGCCAGCUCAAGUGCUCUCCACGCAGAAUUAGAGUCAUAAACCCCGCCAAGGUUUGGAUCCAUGAUCUCAAUAAUAUCACCUCGGUUAAGCUUAGAGCCAACCCAUUCUGUUAUGUGGUACUUUUCAGAGAUCACGGGCUGGUUUGUGAUCAUCUCCAAUAAC